rnacentral:tRNA from 6 species
GGGCAGGUGAUCCGAUUGGUAAUGGUGGUUCUCUGUAAAAGAAUUGGUUAAAUGUCCGUAAAAGGUUCGAUUCCUUUACUGCUCA